UACGUAGGGUGCAAGCGUUGUCCGGAAUUAUUGGGCGUAAAGAGCUCGUAGGCGGUCUGUCGCGUCGGCCGUGAAAACCUGCAGCUUAACUGUGGGCUUGCGGUCGAUACGGGCAUCACUGGAGUUCGGCAGGGGAGACUGGAAUUCCUGGUGUAGCGGUGAAAUGCGCAGAUAUCAGGAGGAACACCGGUGGCGAAGGCGGGUCUCUGGGCCGAUACUGACGCUGAGGAGCGAAAGCGUGGGGAGCGAACAGG
rnacentral:rRNA from 1 species